GAUGAAGAACGUAGCGAAAUGCGAUAAGUAAUGUGAAUUGCAGAAUUCAGUGAAUCAUCGAAUCUUUGAACGCACAUUGCGCCCGCCAGUAUUCUGGCGGGCAUGUCUGUUCGAGCGUCAUUACAACCCUCAGGCCCCCGGGCCUGGCGUUGGGGAUCGGCGAGGCGCCCCCCGCGGGCACGCGCCGUCCCCCAAAUACAGUGGCGGUCCCGCCGCAGCUUCCAUUGCGUAGUAGCUAACACCUCGCAACUGGAGAGCGGCGCGGCCAUGCCGUAAAACACCCAACUUCUGAAUUUUGACCUCGAAUCAGGUAGGAAUACCCGCUGAACUUAAGCAUAUCAAUAAGCGGAGGA
rnacentral:misc_RNA from 1 species